AGAGACAUAGCUCAGUUGGUUAGAGCACCACCUUGACAUGGUGGGGGUCGUUGGUUCGAAUCCAAUUGUCUCUACCA
rnacentral:tRNA from 2 species